CUGGCGGCGUGCCUAAUACAUGCAAGUCGAACGGUCUUUCUAUGGAAGCUUGCUUCCACUGAAAAGAUAGUGGCGAACGGGUGAGUAACACGUGGGGUAACCUGCCCAUAAGAGGGGGAUAACAUCCGGAAACGGGUGCUAAUACCGCAUAGUUUUCUUGAUCGCAUGAUCGGGAAAGGAAAGACGGCCUUUGUGCUGUCGCUUAUGGAUGGACCCGCGGCGUAUUAGUUAGUUGGUGAGGUAACGGCUCACCAAGACGAUGAUACGUAGCCGACCUGAGAGGGUGAUCGGCCACAUUGGGACUGAGACACGGCCCAAACUCCUACGGGAGGCAGCAGUAGGGAAUCUUCCGCAAUGGACGAAAGCCUGACGGAGCAACGCCGCGUGAGUGAAAGAAGGUUUUCGGAUCGUAAAACUCUGUUGUCAGAGAAGAACAAGUUGGAGAGUAACUGCUCCAGCCUUGACGGUAUCUGACCAGAAAGCCACGGCUAACUACGUGCCAGCCGCGGC
rnacentral:rRNA from 1 species